rnacentral:rRNA from 1 species
AUGUGGUUUCCUCCACCAAGCGGCAUCGCGAAGAUUAAUGUUGAUGGGGUUGUGGUACGAUCACGGAGAGGAGGCGCAGUUGCUGCCCUAUGUCGCGACCAUGAGGGGCACUAUUUGGGAUCUUUGGCGUUGGUUUACUAUGGGAUCAUAGACCCCUUAACCUUGGAGACAUAUGCAUGCCGUGAGGCUCUUGCUUUGGCGGAUGACCUGGGAUAGCAGAAGAUUUGCGUGGCAUCGGACUUCCAAGAGGCGGUUAAUGAUAUAAAUAGGGGAACAAGAGGCCCCAAUGCUGCGUUGGUACAUGAAGUAAUGAACCAUUGUGAUAGUUUUAUUACUUGCUCUUUUGUUUCCGAGCAUAGGAACUUCAAUUUUGAAGCUCACAAUCUCGCCAAGUUUGCUUGUAACCUAGAUAUAGGUAGACAUGUUUGGUUGGGCAAUCCCCAUGACCCCAAUCUUGUACCUAUGACAAUUGCUUCUGAAUAA